rnacentral:rRNA from 1 species
UACAGAGGGGGCAAGCGUUGUUCGGAAUUACUGGGCGUAAAGGGCGCGUAGGUGGCCUUCUAAGUUGAACGUGAAAUCCCUGGGCUCAACCCAGGAACUGCGUCCAAGACUGGGAGGCUUGAAUCCGGGAGAGGGAUGCGGAAUUCCAGGUGUAGCGGUGAAAAUGCGUAGAUAUCUGGAGGAACACCGGUGGCGAAGGCGGCAUCCUGGACCGGUAUUGACGCUGAGGAGC